AUGAACGCUGGCGGCGUGCCUAAUACCUGCAAGUCGAGCGAACAGAUGAGGAGCUUGCUCCUCUGACGUUAGCGGCGGACGGGUGAGUAACACGUGGAUAACCUACCUAUAAGACUGGGAUAACUUCGGGAAUCCGGAGCUAAUACCGGAUAAUAUAUUGAACCGCAUGGUUCAAUAGUGAAAGACGGUUUUGCUGUCACUUAUAGAUGGAUCCGCGCCGCAUUAGCUAGUUGGUAAGGUAACGGCUUACCAAGGCAACGAUGCGUAGCCGACCUGAGAGGGUGAUCGGCCACACUGGAACUGAGACACGGUCCAGACUCCUACGGGAGGCAGCAGUAGGGAAUCUUCCGCAAUGGGCGAAAGCCUGACGGAGCAACGCCGCGUGAGUGAUGAAGGUCUUCGGAUCGUAAAACUCUGUUAUUAGGGAAGAACAAAUGUGUAAGUAACUAUGCACGUCUUGACGGUACCUAAUCAGAAAGCCACGGCUAACUACGUG
rnacentral:rRNA from 1 species